rnacentral:rRNA from 1 species
CACGUAGGGUGCGAGCGUUGUCCGGAAUUAUUGGGCGUAAAGAGCUCGUAGGCGGUGCGUCGCGUCGGCCGUGAAAACCUGCAGCUUAACUGUGGGCUUGCGGUCGAUACGGGCAUCACUGGAGUUCGGCAGGGGAGACUGGAAUUCCUGGUGUAGCGGUGAAAUGCGCAGAUAUCAGGAGGAACACCGGUGGCGAAGGCGGGUCUCUGGGCCGAUACUGACGCUGGAGGAGCGAAAGCCGUGGGAGCGAACAGG